UACGAAGGGGGCUAGCGUUGUUCGGAAUUACUGGGCGUAAAGCGCACGUAGGCGGGUUGUUAAGUCAGGGGUGAAAUCCUGGAGCUCAACUCCAGAACUGCCUUUGAUACUGCCGUGCUUGAGGACUGGAGAGGAGACUGGAAUUUACGGUGUAGCAGUGAAAUGCGUAGAUAUCGUAAGGAAGACCAGUGGCGAAGGCGGGUCUCUGGACAGUUCCUGACGCUGAGGCACGAAGGCCAGGGGAGCAAACGGG
rnacentral:rRNA from 1 species